rnacentral:miRNA from 1 species
AGGUAGCUGGAAAGACCCCUUCUAUUAGGUUGGCGCAAAAGUAAUUGCGGUUUUUGCUAUUAAAAGUAGUACUUAAAAAAAGUAAUACUUCCCUACUCCCCUUGGACUU